rnacentral:rRNA from 1 species
UGGGGAAUUUUCCGCAAUGGGCGCAAGCCUGACGGAGCAAUACCGCGUGAGGGAGGAAGGCUCUUGGGUCGUAAACCUCUUUUAUCAGGGAAGAACACAAUGACGGUACCUGAUGAAUCAGCAUCGGCUAACUCUGUGCCAGCAGCCGCGGUAAUACAGAGGAUGCAAGCGUUAUCCGGAAUUAUUGGGCGUAAAGCGUCCGCAGGUGGUUUUGGUAGUCUGCUGUCAAAGCGCGAGGCUCAACUUCGUAUCGGCGGUGGAAACUCCAAGAUUAGAGCUAGGUAGGGGUCACGGGAAUUCCCAGUGUAGCGGUGAAAUGCGUAGAUAUUGGGAAGAACACCAGCGGCGAAAGCGCGUGACUGGGCCUGAGCUGACACUCAUGGACGAAAGCUAGGGGAGCGAAAG